rnacentral:rRNA from 1 species
UACGUAGGGGGCGUGCGUUGUCCGGAGUUACUGGGCGUAAAGCGCGUGUAGGCGGUUGUUUAAGUCAGGUGUGAAAUCCUUCGGCUCAACCGAGGAACUGCGCCUGAAACUGACCGACUGGAGUCUUGGAGGGGCAGCCGGAAUUCCUGGUGUAACGGUGAAAUGUGUAGAUAUCAGGAGGAACACCUGUGGCGAAAGCGGGCUGCUGGACAAUGACUGACGCUGAGACGCGAAAGCGUGGGUAGCAAAC